rnacentral:rRNA from 1 species
UACGUAGGGGGCAAGCGUUGUCCGGAAUCAUUGGGCGUAAAGCGCGUGUAGGCGGCUUGGUAAGUCCGUUCUGAAAGCCCGGGGCUCAACCCCGGGAGGCGGAUGGAUACUGUCAAGCUUGAGUCCGGAAGAGGCGAGUGGAAUUCCCGGUGUAGCGGUGAAAUGCGUAGAUAUCUGGAGGAACACCGGUGGCGAAGGCGGCAUCCUGGACCAACACUGACACUGAGGAGCGAAAGCCAGGGGAGCAAACGGG